rnacentral:rRNA from 1 species
AGCGAACGCUGGCGGCAGGCCUAACACAUGCAAGUCGAACGAAGUCUUCGGACUUAGUGGCGGACGGGUGAGUAACACGUGGGAACGUGCCUUUAGGUUCGGAAUAACUCAGGGAAACUUGUGCUAAUACCGAAUGUGCCCUUCGGGGGAAAGAUUUAUCGCCUUUAGAGCGGCCCGCGUCUGAUUAGCUAGUUGGUGAGGUAAAGGCUCACCAAGGCUACGAUCAGUAGCUGGUCUGAGAGGAUGACCAGCCACAUUGGGACUGAGACACGGCCCAAACUCCUACGGGAGGCAGCAGUGGGGAAUCUUGCGCAAUGGGCGAAAGCUUGACGCAGCCAUGCCGCGUGGAUGAUGAAGGUCUUAGGAUUGUAAAAUCCUUUCACCGGUGAAGAUAUUGACUGUAGCCGGAGAAGAAGCCCCGGCUAACUUCGUGCCAGCAGCCGCCGUAACAC